ACGGAGGGUGCGAGUGUUAUUCGGAUUUACUGGGCGUAAAGAGCACGUAGGCGGAUAGGUAAGUCAGAUGUGAAAGCCCGGAGCUUAACUCCGGAACUGCAUUCGAUACUGGUUGUCUUGAGUGCGGUAGAGGGAAGUGGAAUUACUGGUGUAGAGGUGAAAUGCGUAGAUAUCAGUAGGAACACCGGAGGCGAAGGCGACCUCCUGGGCCGUUCCUGACGCUGAGGUGCGAAAGCGUUGGGAGCGAACAG
rnacentral:rRNA from 1 species